rnacentral:rRNA from 1 species
AUACGGAGGAUCCGAGCGUUAUCCGGAUUUAUUGGGUUUAAAGGGUGGGUAGGCGGUAGUAUAAGUCAGCGGUGAAAUCUUGCAGCUCAACUGUAAGCUUGCCGUUGAAACUGUGUUACUUGAGUUAAGUUGAGGUAUGCGGAAUGUGGUGUGUAGCGGUGAAAUGCAUAGAUAUACCACAGAACACCGAUUGCGUAGGCAGCAUACUAAAUUUUUACUGACGCUGAUUCACGAAAGCGUGGGGAUCAAACAGGAUUAGAUACCCUGGUAGUCCACGCCGUAAACUAUGAUUACUCGUUGUUUGCGAUAUACUGUAAGCGACUGCGCGAAAGCAUUAAGUAAUCCACCUGGGGAGUACGUUGGCAACAAUGAA